UUUCGCAAUGCCCGAAAGGGUGACGAAGCGACGCCGCGUGUGGGAAGAAGGCCUUCGGGUCGUAAACCACUGUCGGGAGUUAGGAAAUGCAGGUGCGUUAAUAGCGCACUUGCUUGACUAAGGCUCCAGAGGAAGCCACGGCUAACUCUGUGCCAGCAGCCGCGGUAAUACAGAGGCGGCAAGCGUUGUUCGGAAUUAUUGGGCGUAAAGAGCACGUAGGCGGCCUUGCAAGUCAGUUGUGAAAGCCUUCCGCUUAACGGAAGAACGGCAUCUGAUACUACAGGGCUUGAGUACGGGAGGGGAGAGUGGAACUUCUGGUGGAGCGGUGAAAUGCGUAGAUAUCAGAAGGAACGCCGGCGGCGAAAGCGACUCUCUGGUCCGAAACUGACGCUGAGUGUGCGAAAGCUAGGGGAGCAAACGGGAUUAGAUACCCCGGUAGUCCUAGCCGUAAACGAUGGGCACUAAGUAGAGGGGUUUU
rnacentral:rRNA from 1 species